GACGAACGCUGGCGGCGUGCCUAAUACAUGCAAGUCGAGCGAAGUUUUUCUGGUGCUUGCCCUAGAAAAACUUAGCGGCGAACGGGUGAGUAACACGUAAAGAACCUGCCUCAUAGACUGGGACAACUAUUGGAAACGAUAGCUAAUACCGGAUAACAGUAUUUCUCGCAUGAGAGAUAUUUAAAAGUUGGUUAUGCUAACACUAUGAGAUGGCUUUGCGGUGCAUUAGCUAGUUGGUGGGGUAAAGGCCCUCCAAGGCGACGAUGCAUAGCCGACCUGAGAGGGUGAUCGGCCACACUGGGACUGAGACACGGCCCAGACUCCUACGGGAGGCAGCAGUAGGGAAUCUUCCGCAAUGGGCGAAAGCCUGACGGAGCAACGCCGCGUGAGUGAAGAAGGAUUUCGGUUCGCAAAGCUCUGUUGUUAGGGAAGAAUGGAUAUGUAGUAACUAUACAUGUAAGAGACGGUACCUAAACAGAAAGCCACGGCUAACUACGUG
rnacentral:rRNA from 1 species